GGACUUUGGGCUCCAAGGGUGGAAGAGGUGGUUUCCAAGCAACAGGAGGCCCGCGCCACGCAGCCGCACUUCGCCGCGCCCAGCCGCCUACCGCGUGGGCGGGGCCAGUGGGGCGGUGGAAAAUUACCGCGCUUCCUCUUAAAGGCGCCCGGACAUUGCUUGGAACCCUGUCGCUGAUCUCCGUUAACGCAGAGCUGUGACGUUGGAGUUCUAAGCAGGUUCUGCCUCAAGGGGCCAGGCUGAGAUGUGAAUGUAACACAACAGCAUACAAGUAUAUCGCCCUGAAUAAGUUGUAGAUGGCCACCACAUGCUGCCCUUCAAAAUACCAGAGAGAAGAUUCCGGCAAACAGAGUUUAAUUUUGGAGGAAUAGGCUAUGAAAUGGUUCCCUGGUAAGGCGUCUCCAAGUACCAUUACACUCAUGUAGAGCAGAAACAGAAUUAAUUGGUCAGCUUGGUUUGAACAGAGCUGUCUCUCCUGUCCUGUGGAUGGAUCGUCUUAGUAGCAUACUCACAAUAAAACAAUUGAAACUGGCGAAUUAAAUGAUGAUAGAUGAUUUAGAGACACUUUUACCCUGCAAAAAACCCAC
ensembl:lncRNA